UGAAGAGAAUGGGAAAAGAAACAUUGAAGCCAAAAGGAAGCCGAGAGAUUGAGCCCAAAGCAAACUGAAGAAAAUGGAGAACCUCUGCUGGAUGCUGAAAUGAUUUGAGAAAUGGAUAAUAGCCCUCCAUCCAAACAAUGACUGUCAUCAGUGCAGCACAGAAUCGGAACCUAACACUUUGGUUGUGACCAUCUACUUUGUCCUCGCAAACCAAUGGAAGGUAAGUCUAAUGUCAUCUGCAAUUUUCUUCUGUAAGUAGUUGCCAGAAACCAUCCCUAGGAAUCCAGAGGUAGUCACUUAAUCUACCGUGUGUGUGUGUGU